rnacentral:rRNA from 1 species
UGGGGAAUAUUGGACAAUGGGGGGAACCCUGAUCCAGCCAUGCCGCGUGUGUGAAGAAGGCCUUAUGGUUGUAAAGCACUUUAAGCGAGGAGGAGGGUACUGGUAUUAAUACUACCAGCUACUGGACGUUACUCGCAGAAUAAGCACCGGCUAACUCUGUGCCAGCAGCCGCGGUAAUACAGAGGGUGCGAGCGUUAAUCGGAUUUACUGGGCGUAAAGCGUGCGUAGGCGGCUAAUUGAGUCGGAUGUGAAAUCCCCGAGCUUAACUUGGGAAUUGCAUUCGAUACUGGUUAGCUAGAGUAGGGCAGAGGGUGGUGGAAUUUCCUGUGUAGCGGUGAAAUGCGUAGAUAUAGGAAGGAACACCAGUGGCGAAGGCGACCACCUGGGCUCAUACUGACACUGAGGUGCGAAAGCGUGGGGAGCAAACAGG